GAUCUACUCCCUCCGUCCCAAAAAAUUUGUCUUAGCAUUGUUCAGAAAUGGAUGUAUCCAAAUACUAAAACUUGACUAGAUACANNNNUAUCUAAACAAAUCUAAGACAAGAAAUUUGGGACGGAGGGAGUAUUAU
rfam:Hordeum vulgare subsp. vulgare, WGS project CAJW01000000 data, contig: morex_contig_1586270